rnacentral:rRNA from 1 species
GACGAACGAGGGCGGCGUGCUUAACACAUGCAAGUCGAACGGAAAGGCCCUGCUUUUGUGGGGUGCUCGAGUGGCGAACGGGUGAGUAACACGUGAGUAACCUGCCCUUGACUUUGGGAUAACUUCAGGAAACUGGGGCUAAUACCGGAUAGGAGCUCCUGCUGCAUGGUGGGGGUUGGAAAGUUUCGGCGGUUGGGGAUGGACUCGCGGCUUAUCAGCUUGUUGGUGGGGUAGUGGCUUACCAAGGCUUUGACGGGUAGCCGGCCUGAGAGGGUGACCGGCCACAUUGGGACUGAGAUACGGCCCAGACUCCUACGGGAGGCAGCAGUGGGGAAUAUUGCACAAUGGGCGGAAGCCUGAUGCAGCAACGCCGCGUGCGGGAUGACGGCCUUCGGGUUGUAAACCGCUUUCGCCUGUGACGAAGCGUGAGUGACGGUAAUGGGUAAAGAAGCACCGGCUAACUACGUG